CCUACGGGAGGCUGCAGUGGGGAAUAUUGGGCAAUGGGCGCAAGCCUGACCCAGCAACGCCGCGUGAAGGAAGAAGGCUCUCGGGUUGUAAACUUCUUUUAAGAGGGAAGAGCAGAAGACGGUACCUCUUGAAUAAGCCACGGCUAACUACGUGCCAGCAGCCGCGGUAAUACGUAGGUGGCAAGCGUUGUCCGGAUUUACUGGGUGUAAAGGGCGUGCAGCCGGGAAGACAAGUCAGAUGUGAAAGCCCGCGGCUCAACCGCGGAACUGCAUUUGAAACUGUUUUUCUUGAGUACCGGAGAGGUCAUCGGAAUUCCUGGUGUAGCGGUGAAAUGCGUAGAUAUAAGGAAGAACACCAGUGGCGAAGGCGGAUGACUGGACGGCAACUGACGGUGAGGCGCGAAAGCGUGGGGAGCAAACAGGAUUAGAUACCCUAGUAGUC
rnacentral:rRNA from 1 species